GGCGGGGUAGCUCAGCUGGUUAGAGCACCGGAAUCAUAAUCCGGGGGUCGGGGGUUCAAGUCCCUCCCUCGCUACCA
rnacentral:tRNA from 1 species